rnacentral:rRNA from 1 species
UACGUAGGGUGCAAGCGUUGUCCGGAAUCAUUGGGCGUAAAGGGCGCGUAGGUGGCUUCUUAAGCGUGCGGUGAAAGCCUGGGGCUCAACCCCGGGUCGGCCGUGCGAACUGGGGGGCUGGAGCACUGUAGAGGCAGGCGGAAUUCCGGGUGUAGCGGUGGAAUGCGUAGAGAUCCGGAAGAACACCGGUGGCGAAGGCGGCCUGCUGGGCAGUUGCUGACACUGAGGCGCGGACAGCGUGGGGAGCAAACAGG